UACCUGGCUCAGGACGAACGCUGGCGGCGUGCCUAAUACAUGCAAGUCGAGCGGAUUGAUGGGAGCUUGCUCCCUGAUAUCAGCGGCGGACGGGUGAGUAACACGUGGGCAACCUGCCUAUAAGACUGGGAUAACUUCGGGAAACCGGAGCUAAUACCGGAUAAUCCCUUUCCUCUCAUGAGGAAAGGCUGAAAGAUGGUUUACGCUAUCACUUAUAGAUGGGCCCGCGGCGCAUUAGCUAGUUGGUGAGGUAACGGCUCACCAAGGCAACGAUGCGUAGCCGACCUGAGAGGGUGAUCGGCCACACUGGGACUGAGACACGGCCCAGACUCCUACGGGAGGCAGCAGUAGGGAAUCCUCCGCAAUGGACGAAAGUCUGACGGAGCAACGCCGCGUGAGUGAUGAAGGUUUUCGGAUCGUAAAACUCUGUUGUUAGGGAAGAACAAGUACGAGAGUAACUGCUCGUACCUUGACGGUACCUAACCAGAAAGCCACGGCUAACUACGUG
rnacentral:rRNA from 1 species